rnacentral:rRNA from 1 species
GAUGAACGCUGGCGGCGUGCUUAACACAUGCAAGUCGAACGGAAAUAUAUGGAAGCCUAGCGAAGUAUAUUUUAGUGGCGGACGGGUGAGUAACGCGUGGAUAACCUGCCUUACACUGGGGGAUAACACUUAGAAAUAGGUGCUAAUACCGCAUAAGCGCACAGGGCCGCAUGGUCUGGUGUGAAAAACUCCGGUGGUGUAAGAUGGAUCCGCGUCUGAUUAGCUAGUUGGUGAGGUAAUGGCUCACCAAGGCGACGAUCAGUAGCCGGCCUGAGAGGGUGAACGGCCACAUUGGGACUGAGACACGGCCCAAACUCCUACGGGAGGCAGCAGUGGGGAAUAUUGCACAAUGGGCGAAAGCCUGAUGCAGCGACGCCGCGUGAGUGAAGAAGUAUUUCGGUACGUAAAGCUCUAUCAGCAAGGAAGAAAAUGACGGUACUUGACUAAGAAGCCCCGGCUAACUACGUGCCAGCAGCCGCGGUAAAACGUAG